AACAAACGCUGGCGGCGUGUCUUAAGCAUGCAAGUUGAGCGGCAAGGAGGAGAGAUCCUCCCUAGAGCGGCGGACUGGUGAGUAACGCGUGGGUAAUCUAUCGUAGGCAUGGGGAUAGUCACUAGAAAUAGUGGGUAAUACCGAAUACGUUCCAUGAGGGGAGUAUUCAUGGAAGAAAGGGUGCUACGGCACUGGCCUUAGGUGAGCUCGCGUCCCAUUAGCUAGUUGGUGAGGUAAAGGCCCACCAAGGCGAUGAUGGGUAGCCGGCCUGAGAGGGUGUACGGCCACACUGGGACUGAGAUACGGCCCAGACUCCUACGGGAGGCAGCAGCUAGGAAUAUUCCGCAAUGGACGAAAGUCUGACGGAGCGACGCCGCGUGGAUGAAGAAGGCCGAAAGGUUGUAAAGUUCUUUUGCUAGGGGAGAAUAAGUGAGGGAGGGAAUGCCCUCAUGAUGACAAGGACUAGCGAAUAAGCCCCGGCAACUACGUGCCAGCAGCCG
rnacentral:rRNA from 1 species